CAGAACGAACGCUGGCGGCGCGUUUAAGCAUGCAAGUCGAGCGGCAAGGGCCUUCGGGCCCUAGAGCGGCGGACGGGUGAGUAACACGUGGACAAUCUGCCCCCCGGCCCGGGAUAGCCCAGGGAAACCUGGAUUAAUACCGGAUGAGACGGGACCCGCGAUGGCGGGAUCCGGGAAAGGCGCUGCGGCGCCGCCGGGGGAUGAGUCUGCGUCCCAUUAGCUAGACGGCGGGGUAACGGCCCACCGUGGCGACGAUGGGUAGCCGGCCUGAGAGGGUGGACGGCCACAUUGGAACUGAGACACGGUCCAGACUCCUACGGGAGGCAGCAGCUAAGAAUCUUCCGCAAUGGGCGAAAGCCUGACGGAGCCGACGCCGCGUGAACGAAGAAGGCCGUGAGGUUGUAAAGUUCUUUUCGGGAGGGGAACAACCGUGGCAGGGAAUGGCCGCGGGAUGACGUGAAUCCCGGAAUAAGCCCCGGCUAACUACGUGCCAGCCGCGGC
rnacentral:rRNA from 1 species